rnacentral:rRNA from 1 species
UACGUAGGGCGCAAGCGUUGUCCGGAAUUAUUGGGCGUAAAGAGCUCGUAGGUGGUUUGUUACGUCUGCUGUGAAAACCUAGGGCUUAACCCUGGGCCUGCAGUGGAUACGGGCAGACUAGAGGUAGGUAGGGGAGAAUGGAAUUCCCGGUGUAGCGGUGAAAUGCGCAGAUAUCGGGAGGAACACCGGUGGCGAAGGCGGUUCUCUGGGCCUUGCCUGACACUGAGGAGCGAAAGCGUGGGGAGCGAACAGG